GACGAACGCUGGCGGCAUGCCUAACACAUGCAAGUCGAACGAAGGCUUCGGCCUUAGUGGCGCACGGGUGCGUAACGCGUGGGAAUCUGCCCUUAGGUUCGGAAUAACAGUUAGAAAUGACUGCUAAUACCGGAUGAUGACGUAAGUCCAAAGAUUUAUCGCCUGAGGAUGAGCCCGCGUAGGAUUAGCUAGUUGGUGUGGUAAAGGCGCACCAAGGCGACGAUCCUUAGCUGGUCUGAGAGGAUGAUCAGCCACACUGGGACUGAGACACGGCCCAGACUCCUACGGGAGGCAGCAGUGGGGAAUAUUGGACAAUGGGCGCAAGCCUGAUCCAGCAAUGCCGCGUGAGUGAUGAAGGCCUUAGGGUUGUAAAGCUCUUUUACCCGUGAUGAUAAUGACAGUAGCGGGAGAAUAAGCCCCGGCUAACUCCGUG
rnacentral:rRNA from 1 species